UCUCCCUCUCAAAAUCUGUCUCUCGCUCGACUUUUGCUCGAUUCUCACUGCCUCUCUUGCUCGAAUUUGUCGCUCGAAUCUCUCGCUCAAAUCUGUCGAUCGAUUCAACUUUCUCAAGUCCACUACUGUUGAAGAUUUCAUAAUCGGAGACAUCGUUGUGGACUUGCAUAGGGAUCUCUGUUCUUUGAAAUGGCCAAUGCAAUUGAGAGGGAAAUCACCACCUUGCAAUUGAAAGAAAAGAAGCUUGUUACGGAGAUAAAGAGAACUGCUAAAACAGGAAAUGAGGUACAUUUUGGGACGUAUUUCUCUUUCUUGUUUUUAUAUUCAGAUUUAUCUUCUUAUUUUUAUUUGUAUCUGCAUUCUGCAGGCAGCAACUAAAAUUUCAG